CCCCUCCUAGCUCAGUCGGCAAAGAAUCUGCCUGCAAUGCAGGAGACCUGGGUUCACUCCCUGGGACAGGA
rnacentral:tRNA from 1 species